GACGCUUCAACAGAGCCUCUAACAGAAUGAAUCCUGCCUGAAUGACCAUGAGAAGGAGGCCACCCCCUAAAACUCUUCAUCUGCCCAUGAUUGUUAUGUGAGCAAAACAUAAACAUCUAGUAGCAAUAGCAUCGGAGCCUGGAGUCAAUGUUACUGCCCCCUUACCCUGCAUGGCCACAGGGAGAUUAAGGCCUGGAAUCCUCAUGCCUGUAUGACUGUAGGUGGGGAGGAGUUUGUCCAGCAAGACCCACAAAGAAAUGCAGGAGGACAUGGCCCAUGAGUCUGACCAGUGUGUAGGGAUCAAGGCAAAGGAGAUGGUCUGCAUAAUCAGGAGACUGAUUAUAUACAGGGGAAUUGAGAAAUUAAGUGACUAGGUUGAGAAGAAUGGAAGCCAGAUUGCUUACUGUCAGAGAAGAGAGAUACAAAUAUGGAAAAAAGGGAGGCUGGGAGUUAGAUUGGAAUUGGAGGCAUCAGUGUGAGCUCAUGGUUUUUAACAUAUACAGAUACAUAUAUAAUCAGAAUUUAAUCAUGAAGAAAUAUCAGACAAAGCCAAAUUGAAAGACAUUCCGGAAAGCAUCUGGUCUGUACUCCUCAAAAAUGUCAAAGUCAUGAAAGACAUGGAAAACCUGAGGAACCGCCUCAGAUUGAAGAAGACUAAAGGGACAUCACAACUAAAUGCAAUGCAUGACCCUGGAUAAAUUCUGGACCAGAAAAACAAGGGUGCUUAUGAGAGACAUUUAUUGAGGCAACUGGCAUGAUUUAAAUGAGUCUGCAGAUUGAAUAGUAUCACCAUAUCAAUGUUAAUAUGCUUGAUUUUACAUUUUUACUGAGGCUAUGCAAAAGAGUGUCUUUGUUUUGGAGAAAUACACAUUGAAUUAUUUAGGAGUUAUUGGCCAUGAUAUCUGCAACUUACUUUCAAAUGAUUCAGAAAAACUGUACUAAGAGCG
rnacentral:lncRNA from 1 species